AACCAUUCUCACCUGCGGCUAGACCUGCGGAAGGAUCAUUACCGAGUUUACAACUCCCAAACCCCUGUGAACAUACCAAUUGUUGCCUCGGCGGAUCAGCCCGCUCCCGGUAAAACGGGGCGGCCCGCCAGAGGACUCCUAAACUCUGUUUCUAUAUGUAACUUCUGAGUAAAACCAUAAAUAAAUCAAAACUUUCAGCAAUGGAUCU
rnacentral:misc_RNA from 1 species